GAGUUUGAUCCUGGCUCAGGGUUAACGCUGGCGGUGCGCAUAACACAUGCAAGUCGAGCGAGGGCUUAUUUCUCGCAAGAGAGAUAAGUUCCUAGCGGCGAACGGGUGAGUAACACGUGGGUAACCUGUCCUAUCGCGGGGGAUAACAGCGGGAAACCGCUGCUAAUACCGCAUGUUGUCACCGGCUCAUGGCCGGUGAAGAAAGCAGCAAUGCACGAUGGGGUGGGCCCGCGGCCUAUCAGCUAGUCGGUGGGGUAACGGCCUACCGAGGCGAUGACGGGUAGCUGGUCUGAGAGGACGACCAGCCACACGGGGACUGAGACACGGCCCCGACUCCUACGGGAGGCAGCAGUGAGGAAUCUUCCGCAAUGGGCGAAAGCCUGACGGAGCGACACCGCGUGUGGGAUGAAGUCUUUCGGGAUGUAAACCACUGUCGGAGGGGAAGACAAAAAAGACGGUACCCUCAAGAAAGCCCCGGCUAACUACGUGCCAGCAGCCCGCGGAAAUACGUAGGG
rnacentral:rRNA from 1 species